GACGAACGCUGGCGGCGUGCUUAACACAUGCAAGUCGAACGGAAAGGCCCUGCUUUUGUGGGGUGCUCGAGUGGCGAACGGGUGAGUAACACGUGAGUAACCUGCCCUUGACUUUGGGAUAACUUCAGGAAACUGGGGCUAAUACCGGAUAGGAGCUCCUGCUGCAUGGUGGGGGUUGGAAAGUUUCGGCGGUUGGGGAUGGACUCGCGGCUUAUCAGCUUGUUGGUGGGGUAGUGGCUUACCAAGGCUUUGACGGGUAGCCGGCCUGAGAGGGUGACCGGCCACAUUGGGACUGAGAUACGGCCCAGACUCCUACGGGAGGCAGCAGUGGGGUAUAUUGCACAAUGGGCGGAAGCCUGAUGCAGCAACGCCGCGUGCGGGAUGACGGCCCUCGGGUUGUAAACCGCUUUCGCCUGUGAUGAAGCGUGGGUGACGGUAAUGGGUAAAGAAGCACCGGCUAACUACGUG
rnacentral:rRNA from 1 species